GUAGCUGUUGAUACAACAUAUGGUUGGUGGUAUAAAGCAUGUUACGAUUGUAAAGGAGCAGUCAAGGAUUAUGGUGGUAAUUUUUGGUGUGGUCAAUGCGGGAGAAAUGAUCGUGCACCUAUACCAUGGUAAAAAUUUAAGAAAUGUUCGAUUACAUAUGAUACUUCGGAAUUUUUUUUUUGUUAUGGAAUUUGACAGUUAAAUAACUAAUAAAUUAGGUACAAACUAAAUGCUGUUGUUGAAGAUGAAACCGAAACUGCAGAUUUUACGAU
rnacentral:lncRNA from 1 species